rnacentral:lncRNA from 1 species
CAUGUUCCAAAAAUUGGCACUUAGCUCUAGAAUGAGCUAAUUAGUCCGGAAGGUUUUGUUUGUUUGUUUUGUCCUUGCUACCUUUAAUGCCUGCCCUUGGAGAAAAGGCAGACAGCAAACACUUGGAAACCUAUGACACUCCAGACUGACCUCCAUGCUCUUUGUGGGCAUAAAAAAACUGUUUGGUAAUUAAUUAUUCAAAAUCUUUCUUUAUAGGACGCAUUGUUGUCAAAGAUUUGACAAAUACUGGUUGCCCUUCUUUAGGAACUGUCUAAUUGCAGAAGCAGAGAGCAGGAGGAAUAUAGGAAACCUGUGGACUGUGGUGGAGGAGAGAGAAGCCCUGAACAGGUUCCACACGCGGGGUGUCAGCUUGUCCCGGGCGCAGCUCUGCAGCCCUACCCCGUGCACAGACAGUCUCCGAUGCUCUCUCAGGGACUGAACCCCACUCGCACCGCACUCUUUCGAUGCCUCACCUUGUGGGAGAGAAGUGCAAGCAGAACAGCAACAC